GGGUGACGAGCGGCGGACGGGUGAGUAAUGUCUGGGAAACUGCUGAUGGAGGGGGAUAACUACUGGAAACGGUAGCUAAUACCGCAUAACGUGACCAAAGAGGGGGACCUUCGGGCCUCUGCCAUCAGAUGUGCCCAGAUGGGAUUAGCUAGUAGGUGAGGUAAUGGCUCACCUAGGCGACGAUCCCUAGCUGGUCUGAGAGGAUGACCAGCCACACUGGAACUGAGACACGGUCCAGACUCCUACGGGAGGCAGCAGUGGGGAAUAUUGCACAAUGGGCGCAAGCCUGAUGCAGCCAUGCCGCGUGUAUGAAGAAGGCCUUCGGGUUGUAAAGUACUUUCAGCGAGGAGGAAGGCAUUAAGGUUAAUAACCUCAGUGAUUGACGUUACUCGCAGAAGAAGCACCGGCUAACUCCGUGCCAGCAGCCGCGGUAAUACGGAGGGUGCAAGCGUUAAUCGGAAUUACUGGGCGUAAAGCGCACGCAGGCGGUCUGUCAAGUCGGAUGUGAAAUCCCCGGGCUCAACCUGGGAACUGCAUUCGAAACUGGCAGGCUAGAGUCUUGUAGAGGGGGGUAGAAUUCCAGGUGUAGCGGUGAAAUGCGUAGAGAUCUGGAGGAAUACCGGUGGCGAAGGCGGCCCCCUGGACAAAGACUGAC
rnacentral:rRNA from 1 species